UGUGAAAGAGAAACACACAGUUUAGUUGGGCCCUCCACAGCACCCCAAGAGUCCUGCAGACACAAGCCCACACGUCCAGAUGACAACCGUGUACUGACACAAGUAGAAGGAGAAAAGAAUGACAAGGGAGGCCCAGAAAGAGCUCCCAUGGGGAACGUUUAAGAGCCAGAACCAAGCAUGAGCUCAGGACUGUUCUCAUGGGCAAUGACCAGAAGGGAGUGGUAGGAAGGAGCAACCCUCACCUUCUAUAAUCAUGUCCCACAGGUGUCAAGGCUCAGCAAGUCUCAGACGUAGACCCAGUCACACACACACACACAGUGUUUUCAACAGAAAUGGGCUAAUUUAUGUGAUAAGAUGAUGUUUGAGUUGUUGAUCAGUGGAGUCUGACAGAAGCAGAAGAGUCUCCAAUGUUUUCAUAGUUCACUCCAUCUUCA
ensembl:lncRNA